rnacentral:piRNA from 1 species
UGGUCUCGAACACCUGACCUCAAGUGAUCCA